rnacentral:lncRNA from 1 species
CUACAAACUGAAGAUUUGAUUCCAUUCAGCAAUUACAUACAUAUAUAUAUAGAUAUAGAGAGAGAAUAAGAGAGUGCAACGCAGAAACAGUAGAGAGAUAAAUGAGGUCGUAGAGAGAGGGUGAAAAUUGAAUUUGUACUGAAUGGUUUAAAGUCUGAUUUCUUAACCAAAUCUAAUUAAAAUGGAUAUUUGGAUUCUAUCUAUAAAAUUAAUAAUAAUAAUAAUAUGGGGCCCAAAACAAAAGCCUGUUACUAAAAAAUAAAACUAAAAAGCCUAAGCCAAUCUUAUCUUCUUCAUUUCAUCUCAUCCAACCCUGCCAUUUUACAGUUGUUGGUGCUGUUGUUUGUGGUUUCAAAAUUGCUAUCUACCGUCUGUUGCCAUUUCAUCCAUUUCACAGCCAAAACCAAUUGAAUUUGUCUGCUGUCUACUUCUAUUUUAACGAUUUCAUGAUUUCUAUCCAUCCCUGCUUUCUGCUACCAUUUCACAAUCUACACUCCCAAGAACAUUUCUCAGACCGAUUCCGACGGAGAUGCCCCCUUCGGUUUUUGGCCUGAGGCGCAGGCCUCAUCUGCCUCGCCUCAGGACCGGCUUUGAUCAAUACGUACGCAUGGCUUAAGCCUGAUUUCCCAAUUUUAUUCCACAUUCUAUUUUUUUAUUUUAUUUCGAUCAACUAUUUCUACAUUAUUUACGACGUAUUCGCCUUUGAUUUCACUAUCGUUUGACUAAUCUUCAAGAAAUGUAUUUAGCCCCGGUUUGUUUCCCAUUCUUUUCUCAUUGAAGUGAAAAAUAUGACCGUUGUCCAUCACAUCAAGCCACUAAAUUUGAAUUUUUAUCUCUUGUGUGGCCUCGUAAUGGCUAUAUUUUUUAUUUUCAUUUUUGAGAAAAUGGGAAACAAACGGGGCCUUAAUAAUUUUGUAUAGGAAAUAUAUGCAUCUAAGUGGCCAUGUGUAAGCAAAAAACAGCUUAAAGCAAGAGUAACGAGCUCAAUUAAAGUUGAGCCUUAGCUUCAUUUCUUAGAUAGCAUAUAAAAGUACACAAAGUAACAAAGGAUGCCAAAAUAUAUAUUUGAGUUCAUUUUUUCUUCUGCAAAUGGACUCCAAGUAUAUAUUCUAUGUAAUGUAUAAAUGGCAUCGAG